UGGGGAAUAUUGGACAAUGGGGGCAACCCUGAUCCAGCAAUGCCGCGUGUGUGAAGAAGGCCUUCGGGUUGUAAAGCACUUUCAGUGGGGAAGAAAUACUUAAGAUUAAUAUUCUUGAGAGUUGACGUUACCUACAGAAGAAGCACUGGCUAACUCUGUGCCAGCAGCCGCGGUAAUACAGAGAGUGCAAGCGUUAAUCGGAAUUACUGGGCGUAAAGAGCACGUAGGUGGAUACUUUAGUCGGAUGUGAAAGCCCCGAGCUUAACUUGGGAAUUGCACCCGAUACUGGGUAUCUAGAGUAUGGUAGAGGGAAGUGGAAUUUCCGGUGUAGCGGUGAAAUGCGUAGAUAUCGGAAGGAACACCAGUGGCGAAGGCGGCUUCCUGGACCAAUACUGACACUGAGGUGCGAAAGCGUGGGGAGCAAACAGG
rnacentral:rRNA from 1 species